rnacentral:rRNA from 1 species
UACGGGGGGGGGCAAGCGUUUGUUCGGAAUUACUGGGCGUAAAGGGUUCGUAGGUGGCCAACUAAGUCAGACGUGAAAUCCCCUCAGCUUAACUGGGGAACUGCGUCUGAUACUGGAUGGCUUGAGUGCAGGAGAGGAACGCGGAAUUCCAGGUGUAGCGGUGAAAUGCGUAGAUAUCUGGAGGAACACCGGUGGCGAAGGCGGCGUUCUGGACUGCAACUGACACUGAGGAACGAAAGCCAGGGGAGCAAACGGG